ACAUGUCCGCAUGAUUAAAGGUAUUUUCCGGUAGACGAUGGGGAUGCGUUCCAUUAGAUAGUAGGCGGGGUAACGGCCCACCUAGUCAACGAUGGAUAGGGGUUCUGAGAGGAAGGUCCCCCACAUUGGAACUGAGACACGGUCCAAACUCCUACGGGAGGCAGCAGUGAGGAAUAUUGGUCAAUGGGCGAUGGCCUGAACCAGCCAAGUAGCGUGAAGGAUGACUGCCCUAUGGGUUGUAAACUUCUUUUAUAAAGGAAUAAAGUCGGGUAUGCAUACCCGUUUGCAUGUACUUUAUGAAUAAGGAUCGGCUAACUCCGUGCCAGCAGCCGCGGUAAUACGGAGGAUCCGAGCGUUAUCCGGAUUUAUUGGGUUUAAAGGGAGCGUAGAUGGAUGUUUAAGUCAGUUGUGAAAGUUUGCGGCUCAACCGUAAAAUUGCAGUUGAUACUGGAUGUCUUGAGUGCAGUUGAGGCAGGCGGAAUUCGUGGUGUAGCGGUGAAAUGCUUAGAUAUCACGAAGAACUCCGAUUGCGAAGGCAGCCUGCUAAGCUGCAACUGACAUUGAGGCUCGAAAGUGUGGGUAUCAAACAGGAUUAGAUACCCUGGUAGUCCACACGGUAAACGAUGAAUACUCGCUGUUUGCGAUAUACGGCAAGCGGCC
rnacentral:rRNA from 1 species